rnacentral:rRNA from 1 species
CUACGGGUCGCACCAGUGGGGAAUAUUGCGCAAUGGAGGAAACUCUGACGCAGCCAUGCCGCGUGAGUGAAGAAGGCCCUAGGGUUGUAAAACUCUUUCAGUCGUGAAGAUGAUGACGGUAACGACAGAAGAAGCACCGGCUAACUCCGUGCCAGCAGCCGCGGUAAUACGGAGGGUGCUAGCGUUGUUCGGAUUUACUGGGCGUAAAGGGCGCGUAGGCGGAUAUAUCAGUCAGAGGUGAAAGCCCCGGGCUUAACCUGGGAACUGCCUUUGAUACUGUAUAUCUAGAGUCCGAGAGAGGGUGGUGGAACUCCAAGUGUAGAGGUGAAAUUCGUAGAUAUUUGGAAGAACACCAGUGGCGAAGGCGGCCACCUGGCUCGGUACUGACGCUGAGGCGCGAAAGCGUGGGGAGCAAACAGGAUUAGAUACCCGUGUAGUC